rnacentral:rRNA from 1 species
ACAUGCCUACAACAUAGCAUUAAUGCAUUAGAUCCCAUUAGAACUCCGCAGUCAAGCGUGCUCAAGCUAGAGUAGUACCGAGAUGGGUGAAUGCUCGAGAAGUCUUAUUGUUUUACAUGCC